GACAAAAAUGUGUCACAGUUUUUCAAACAAAAGUGUUGCAGUAGCUAGUUUUAUUUAAAACACGUGUUUAAAGAAUUCAAUUUACGAGUGUUUACGAAUUUAUCAAUCUAUUGUGUGUCAGUGCAAGUUUACUCAAUUGUUAAAUUACGCGAACAAUCCGGACAUUCUUUCUAACAAGUGAUAAACAAAUCCGUGCGACUUCUUUUUUAACCUCUCCCAUAGAGAAUUCAUCGAAAGAAUAAUAGACGAACCAAUAGUCCAAGUACGACAGUCGCAAUACCGCCACCAAUGAAUCCUUCCCACGUCUUUUUCGGUGACAAUUUUAUCAAUGGAGUUUUGCCGAAGAAAAAUCCAAAAACAUAUGCCAUCACAUCAUUUAUGACAAUCAUACUCACUGGUACGAUGAACCUGAAACACAAAGGACUGAUCUCGAAGUGGCCUUAAGAGUGAAACUACACGCGGGCAGUCAUUUUAUUUUCUGAGGUUCGAUCCAAGGUUCAAUCCCCAAAGGCGAGGGAAAUUUGGACCAAAAUCUGUUGUUAAUUUAUAGAGAAUGCAGUGUCAAUUUAUUCUCGAGGCGGCUCGUUACAAAAAGAAUUGGCGAGACAAAUGUCUCAUCGUCGCUUUUUAAAACUGGGAACUCUCUGAAGAAAGCUGAUCAACGCCCGAAGCGUCAUCUACCGUUAGUACCUUUCUUGACAGCGCGUCCCAAAUAUUGUCAUGUAA